rnacentral:misc_RNA from 1 species
GUGUGUGUGUGUGUGUGUGUAAUCCUCCACUGAAUUUCAAUGCCCCAUUGAAAAUUUUUUUCUUCUAGUCUGUAUAAAAUUUAAUAAAUGAGACCACCAAAAAUUUGAUCUAGAAUAUAUCAAAAGUCUUAUAAUUAUUUAUUGAAAAAUUAACUUGAAAAUCUUCUAAUGAGAUUAUUAUAUUUAACAAUUAAUUAAUUAUACUGUAAGAG